GAUCCUGGCUCAGAAUCAACGCUGGCGGCGUGCCUAACACAUGCAAGUCGAACGCGAAAGGGGAGCAAUCCCUGAGUAGAGUGGCAAACGGGUGAGUAACACGUGGGUGACCUGCCUUCGAGUGGGGGAUAACGUCCCGAAAGGGACGCUAAUACCGCAUGAUAUCCUGCUUUUGGACAAGCGGAGAUCAAAGCUGGGGAUCGCAAGACCUGGCGCUUGAAGAGGGGCCCGCGCCUGAUUAGCUAGUUGGUGGGGUAAUGGCUCACCAAGGCGACGAUCAGUAUCCGGCCUGAGAGGGCGGACGGACACACUGGGACUGAGACACGGCCCAGACUCCUACGGGAGGCAACAGUGGGGAAUUGUUCGCAAUGGGCGCAAGCCUGACGACGCAACGCCGCGUGGAGGAUGAAGAUCUUCGGGUCGUAAACUCCUGUCGAGCGGGAAGAACGCUUCCCGGGUGAAUAGCCUGGGAAACUGACGGUACCGCUAAAGGAAGCCCCGGCUAACUCCGUGCCAGCAGCCGCGGUAAUACGGGGGGGGCAAGCGUUGUUCGGAAUUACUGGGCGUAAAGGGCUCGUAGGCGGCCAACUAAGUCGGAUGUGAAAUCCCCAGGCUUAACCUGGGAACUGCAUCCGAUACUGGAUGGCUUGAAUCCGGGAGAGGGAUGCAGAAUUCCAGGUGUAGCGGUGA
rnacentral:rRNA from 1 species